UUUUAGUUUUUUUUUCUCUGCUCAGGAUGAACGCUGGCGGCGUGCUUAAUACAUGCAAGUCGAACGAGUUCUGAUUAUUGAAAGGUGCUUGCAUCUUGAUUUAAUUUUGAACGAGUGGCGGACGGGUGAGUAACACGUGGGUAACCUGCCCUUAAGUGGGGGAUAACAUUUGGAAACAGAUGCUAAUACCGCAUAAAUCCAAGAACCGCAUGGUUCUUGGCUGAAAGAUGGCGUAAGCUAUCGCUUUUGGAUGGACCCGCGGCGUAUUAGCUAGUUGGUGAGGUAACGGCUCACCAAGGCAAUGAUACGUAGCCGAACUGAGAGGUUGAUCGGCCACAUUGGGACUGAGACACGGCCCAAACUCCUACGGGAGGCAGCAGUAGGGAAUCUUCCACAAUGGACGCAAGUCUGAUGGAGCAACGCCGCGUGAGUGAAGAAGGCUUUCGGGUCGUAAAACUCUGUUGUUGGAGAAGAAUGGUCGGCAGAGUAACUGUUGUCGGCGUGACGGUAUCCAACCAGAAAGCCACGGCUAACUACGUGCCAGCAGCCGCGGUAAUACGUAGGUGGCAAGCGUUAUCCGGAUUUAUUGGGCGUAAAGCGAGCGCAGGCGGUUUUUUAAGUCUGAUGUGAAAGCCCUCGGCUUAACCGAGGAAGUGCAUCGGAAACUGGGAAACUUGAGUGCAGAAGAGGACAGUGGAACUCCAUGUGUAGCGGUGAAAUGCGUAGAUAUAUGGAAGAACACCAGUGGCGAAGGCGGCUGUCUGGUCUGUAACUGACGCUGAGGCUCGAAAGCAUGGGUAGCGAACAGGAUUAGAUACCCUGGUAGUCCAUGCCGUAAACGAUGAAUGCUAGGUGUUGGAGGGUUUCCGCCCUUCAGUGCCGCAGCUAACGCAUUAAGCAUUCCGCCUGGGGAGUACGACCGCAAGGUUGAAACUCAAAGGAAUUGACGGGGGCCCGCACAAGCGGUGGAGCAUGUGGUUUAAUUCGAAGCAACGCGAAGAACCUUACCAGGUCUUGACAUCUUUUGAUCACCUGAGAGAUCAGGUUUCCCCUUCGGGGGCAAAAUGACAGGUGGUGCAUGGUUGUCGUCAGCUCGUGUCGUGAGAUGUUGGGUUAAGUCCCGCAACGAGCGCAACCCUUAUGACUAGUUGCCAGCAUUUAGUUGGGCACUCUAGUAAGACUGCCGGUGACAAACCGGAGGAAGGUGGGGAUGACGUCAAAUCAUCAUGCCCCUUAUGACCUGGGCUACACACGUGCUACAAUGGAUGGUACAACGAGUUGCGAGACCGCGAGGUCAAGCUAAUCUCUUAAAGCCAUUCUCAGUUCGGACUGUAGGCUGCAACUCGCCUACACGAAGUCGGAAUCGCUAGUAAUCGCGGAUCAGCACGCCGCGGUGAAUACGUUCCCGGGCCUUGUACACACCGCCCGUCACACCAUGAGAGUUUGUAACACCCGAAGCCGGUGGCGUAACCCUUUUAGGGAGCGAGCCGUCUAAGGUGGGACAAAUGAUUAGGGUGAAGU
rnacentral:rRNA from 2 species